rnacentral:rRNA from 1 species
GACGAACGCUGGCGGCGUGCUUAACACAUGCAAGUCGAACGGAAAGGCCCUUCGGUGUUCUCGUGUUGCGAACGGGAGCGGGUCAGGUAGGCGAUCGUAACCUCACCUUGACUUAAGGCUGACUUACGGGAACUAGUACCAAAUCCGACCACGCGCUUCUGGUGCAUUGGUGGGAUGGUUUUGCUUCGGGGGAUGGGGCCGGAGUCGCGGCUCAUCAGCUUGGUGGGGGGGUAGUGGCUUACCAAGGCUUGGACGGGUAGCCGGCCUGAGAGGGUGACCGGCCACAUUGGGACUGAGAUACGGCGCAGACGCCUACGGGAGGCAGCAGUGGGGAAUAUUGCACAAUGGGCGGAAGCCUGAUGCAGCAACGCCGCGUGCGGGAUGACGGCCUUCGGGUUGUAAACCGCUUUCGCCUGUGACGAAGCGUGAGUGACGGUAAUGGGUAAAGAAGCACCGGCUAACUACGUG